GAACGAGUGAAUAUAGUUUGACAGAUUGUUUACACACAUUCAUUCGUUGAAUCUGUAGUUUUCUUUCAAACAAGAACAGUACGCGUUAUUGAAUAACAACUUGUUGAGUAAAAUAAUCGUUGAAUAACAAAUUAAUCAUUCGUGUUGAAUAAUUCGUGAAGAUGAGGUUAUUCACAUCGUUGCUCAUGUUUCUGAGGCAGAUGUAGUUAGACAUCAAAGAUGUUUGUUUAUUUCACUGUUCACAAUGGAUUUUUCAAACUAAGCUACAGAGCGAAAACAAAUGCAACCUGCUGCAGCUGAUAGUUUAGAAGAAGAACUUGAUAUGAAGAGAUCAGUAACCGUGUUUGUAUAAAAAAUAAAGUGCUAGUGGAAUAUGAAACGGAGAUAUAGAUAACUUGGAUAGGUACUGAUGACUAGCAAUUAGUCUUUUAUGCAAGAGAGCAUAAAAAACGCAAAAUGAAGCGGAUUAAAGUGAAUUUAAGCCUCGUCGUUCAUGUUUUCUGAGGAAAAUGCAGUUCAACAUCAAUUUUUUUUGUUUAUUUUACCGUUGCAAAUGGAUUUCUCAAACUUACCUACAGAACGAAAAUAAAUGCAACUUGGUGCAGCUGGGGGUUUAUCAGUGAAUUGUCAACCAGAAUAUCGAGCAUCAACCUAGAAGAACUUUGUAUGAAGAUAUUAUUAACUGUGUUUAUUUUUAAAAUAAAGGGCAAAUGAAGCAAGAA